AGUGAACGCUGGCGGUAGGCCUAACACAUGCAAGUCGAACGGCAGCACAGUAAGAGCUUGCUCUUACGGGUGGCGAGUGGCGGACGGGUGAGGAAUACAUCGGAAUCUACUUUUUCGUGGGGGAUAACGUAGGGAAACUUACGCUAAUACCGCAUACGACCUACGGGUGAAAGCAGGGGAUCUUCGGACCUUGCGCGAUUGAAUGAGCCGAUGUCGGAUUAGCUAGUUGGCGGGGUAAAGGCCCACCAAGGCGACGAUCCGUAGCUGGUCUGAGAGGAUGAACAGCCACAUUGGAAAUGAGAAACGGGCCAAAACCCUACGGGAGGCAGCAGUGGGGAAUAUUGGAAAAGGGGCGAAACCCUGACCCAGCCAUACCGGGGGGGUGAAGAAGGCCUUCGGGUUGUAAAGCCCUUUUGUUGGGAAAAAAAAGAAGCAGGUUAAUACCCCGCUGUUCGGACGGUACCAAAAAAAAAAGCACCGGCUAACUUCGU
rnacentral:rRNA from 1 species